rnacentral:rRNA from 1 species
GACGAACGCUGGCGGCGUGCUUAACACAUGCAAGUCGAACGGAAAGGCCCUGCUUUUGUGGGGUGCUCGAGUGGCGAACGGGUGAGUAACACGUGAGUAACCUGCCCUUGACUUUGGGAUAACUUCAGGAAACUGGGGCUAAUACCGGAUAGGAGCUCCUGCUGCGUGUGGGGGGUUGGAAAGUUUCGGCGGUUGGGGAGUGACUCGCGGCUUAUGAGCUUGUUGGUGUGGUAGUGGCUUACCAAGGCUUUGACGGGUAGCCGGCCUGAGAGGGUGACCGGCCACAUUGGGCCUGCGAUACGGCCCAGAAUCCUACGGGAGGCAGCAGUGGGGAAUAUUGCGCAAUGGGCGGAAGCCUGAUGCAGCAACGCCGCGUGCGGGAUGACGGCCUUCGGGUUGUAAACCGCUUUCGCCUGUGACGAAGCGUGAGUGACGGUAAUGGGUAAAGAAGCACCGGCUAACUACGUG